rnacentral:misc_RNA from 1 species
CAGAGUUGCAAAACUCCAAACCAUUGUGAACUUACCUUUGCCGUUGCUUCGGCGGGCGGCCCGGGCCCUGCCCGGCGCCCCCAGCGGGGCGCCCGCCGGAGGUAAACCAAACCCUUGAAUUGCAUGGCCUCUCUGAGUCUUCUGUACUGAAUAAGUCA